UACGGAGGGUGCGAGCGUUGUCCGGAAUCACUGGGCGUAAAGGGCGCGUAGGCGGCCCGCGCAAGCGUGCGGUGAAAGCCCGGGGCUCAACCCCGGGUCGGCCGUGCGGACUGCGGGGCUCGAGCACUGUAGGGGCAGAUGGAAUUCCGGGUGUAGCGGUGGAAUGCGUAGAGAUCCGGAAGAACACCGGUGGCGAAGGCAGCUCGCUGGGACGUGACUGACGCUGAGACGCGAAAGCGUGGGGAGCAAACAGG
rnacentral:rRNA from 1 species